rnacentral:sRNA from 1 species
UGUAUGGAAUCUGGAUUUCUUGGGGGU